UACGGGAGGCAGCAGUGGGGAAUAUUGCACAAUGGGCGAAAGCCUGAUGCAGCUAUGCCGCGUGUAUGAAGAAGGCCUUAGGGUUGUAAAGUACUUUCAUCGGGGAGGAAAAACAAAACUAAUAAUUUUAUUUCUUGACGUUACCCGAAAAAGAAGCACCGGCUAACUCCGUGCCAGCAGCCGCGGUAAUACGGAGGGUGCUAGCGUUAAUCAGAAUUACUGGGCGUAAAGAGCACGUAGGUGGUUUUUUUAAGUCAGAUGUGAAAUCCCUGGGCUUAACCUAGGAACUGCAUUUUGAAACUGAAAUACUAGAGUAUCGUAGAGGGAGGUAGAAUUCUAGGUGUAGCGGUGAAAUGCGUAGAUAUCUGGAGGAAUACCUGUGGCGAAAGCGGCCUCCUAAACGAAUACUGACACUGAGGUGCGAAAGCGUGGGGAGCAAACAGGGAUUAGAUGCC
rnacentral:rRNA from 1 species